AUUGAACGCUGGCGGCAGGCCUAACACAUGCAAGUCGAACGGUAACAGGAAACAGCUUGCUGUUUCGCUGACGAGUGGCGGACGGGUGAGUAAUGUCUGGGAAACUGCCUGAUGGAGGGGGAUAACUACUGGAAACGGUAGCUAAUACCGCAUAACGUCGCAAGACCAAAGAGGGGGACCCUCGGGCCUCUUGCCAUCGGAUGUGCCCAGAUGGGAUUAGCUUGUUGGUGGGGUAACGGCUCACCAAGGCGACGAUCCCUAGCUGGUCUGAGAGGAUGACCAGCCACACUGGAACUGAGACACGGUCCAGACUCCUACGGGAGGCAGCAGUGGGGAAUAUUGCACAAUGGGCGCAAGCCUGAUGCAGCCAUGCCGCGUGUAUGAAGAAGGCCUUCGGGUUGUAAAGUACUUUCAGCGGGGAGGAAGGGAGUAAAGUUAAUACCUUUGCUCAUUGACGUUACCCGCAGAAGAAGCACCGGCUAACUCCGUGCCAGCAGCCGCGGUAAUACGGAGGGUGCAAGCGUUAAUCGGAAUUACUGGGGCGUAAAGCGCACGCAGGCGGUUUGUUAAGUCAGAUGUGAAAUCCCCGGGCUCAACCUGGGAACUGCAUCUGAUACUGGCAAGCUUGAGUCUCGUAGAGGGGGGUAGAAUUCCAGGUGUAGCGGUGAAAUGCGUAGAGAUCUGGAGGAAUACCGGUGGCGAAGGCGGCCCCCUGGACGAAGACUGACGCUCAGGUGCGAAAGCGUGGGGAGCAAACAGGAUUAGAUACCCUGGUAGUCCACGCCGUAAACGAUGUCGACUUGGAGGUUGUGCCCUUGAGGCGUGGCUUCCGGAGCUAACGCGUUAAGUCGACCGCCUGGGGAGUACGGCCGCAAGGUUAAAACUCAAAUGAAUUGACGGGGGCCCGCACAAGCGGUGGAGCAUGUGGUUUAAUUCGAUGCAACGCGAAGAACCUUACCUGGUCUUGACAUCCACGGAAGUUUUCAGAGAUGAGAAUGUGCCUUCGGGAACCGUGAGACAGGUGCUGCAUGGCUGUCGUCAGCUCGUGUUGUGAAAUGUUGGGUUAAGUCCCGCAACGAGCGCAACCCUUAUCCUUUGUUGCCAGCGGUCCGGCCGGGAACUCAAAGGAGACUGCCAGUGAUAAACUGGAGGAAGGUGGGGAUGACGUCAAGUCAUCAUGGCCCUUACGACCAGGGCUACACACGUGCUACAAUGGCGCAUACAAAGAGAAGCGACCUCGCGAGAGCAAGCGGACCUCAUAAAGUGCGUCGUAGUCCGGAUUGGAGUCUGCAACUCGACUCCAUGAAGUCGGAAUCGCUAGUAAUCGUGGAUCAGAAUGCCACGGUGAAUACGUUGCCCGGGCCU
rnacentral:rRNA from 1 species